GGUUCGAUUCUCGGCUCAGAUUGAACGCUGGCGGGAUGCUUACAUGCAAGUCGAACGGCAGCACGGACUUCGGUCUGGUGGCGAGUGGCGAACGGGUGAGUAAUGUAUCGAACGUGCCUAGUAGCGGGGACAACUACGCGAAAGCGUAGCCAAUACCGCGCCUUCGGGGAAAGCGGGGACCUUCGGCCUCGCACUAUUAGAGCGGCCGAUAUCGGAUUAGCUGGUGGGUAACGGCUCACCGUCAGCGACGAUCCGCUGGCUUGAGAGUACGACCAGCCACACUGGACUGAGACACGGCCCAGACUCCUACGGGAGGCAGGCGCAGUGGGGAAUUUUAGACACAAUGGGGAAACCCUGAUCCAGCCAUCCCGCGUGCGAUGAAGGCCUUCGGGUUGUAAAGCACUUUUGGCAGGAAAGAAACGGCACGGGAUAGUUACCCCGUGCACUGACGGUACCUUGGCAAUAAGCACCGGCUAACUACGUGUCAGCAGCCGCGGUAAUAGCUGUAGGGUGCAAGCGUUAUGACCGAAUUACUGGGCGCAGCGCAGGCGGUUCGGAAAGAAAGAUGUGAAAUCCAGAGCUUAACUUUGGAACUGCAUUUUAACUACCGAGCUGAGUGUGUCAGAGGGAGGUGGACUCGCGUGUAGCGCGGAAUGUGCAGAUAUGCGGAGAACACCGAUGGCGAAGGCAGCCUCCUGGGAUAACACACUGACGCUCAUGCACGAAAGUGGGGAGCAAACAGGAUUAGAUAAUUCUGGUAGUCCACGCCCUAAACGAUGUCAACUAGCUGAAUAGCCUCGGGCCCUGUAGCGUGUUAACGCGUGUAGUUGACCGCCUGGGGAGUACGGUCGCAAGAUUAAAACUCAAAGGAAUUGACGGGACCGCACAAGCGGUGGAUGAUGUAUCAAUCUUCGAUGCAAACGCGAAAACCUUUACCUACCCUUGACAUGUCUGAACCGAAGAGAUUUGGGAGUGCUCGCAAGAGAACCGGAACACAGGUGCUGCAUGGCUGUCGUCAGCUCGUGUCGUGAGAUGUUGGGUUAAGUCCCGCAAACGAGCGCAACCCUUGCCAAUAGUUGCUACGAAAGGGUACUCUAAUGAGACUGCCGGUGACAACCGAGGAAGGUGGAUGACGUCAAGUCCUCAGCGGCCUCUUAUGGGUAGGGCUUCGACACACGUCAUACAAUGCAUGGACAGAGGGUCGCCAACCCGCGAGGGAGCCAAUCCCAGAAACCCGAUCGUAGUCCGGAUCGCAGUCUGCAACUCGACUGCGUGAAGUCGGAAUCGCUAGCAAUCGCGGAUCAGCAUGUCGCGGUGAAUACGUUCCUGGUCUUGUACACACCGCCUGUCACACCAUGGGAGGGGUUUUAUUAGAAGUAGUUAGCCCAACCGUAAGGCGGGGAUAUUAUCACACGGUAGGAUUCAUGACUGGGGUGUAAAGUCGUAACAAGGUAA
rnacentral:rRNA from 1 species